UGGGGAAUAUUGGACAAUGGGCGAAAGCCUGAUCCAGCCAUGCCGCGUGUGUGAAGAAGGUCUUCGGAUUGUAAAGCACUUUAAGUUGGGAGGAAGGGCAGUAAGCGAAUACCUUGCUGUUUUGACGUUACCGACAGAAUAAGCACCGGCUAACUCUGUGCCAGCAGCCGCGGUAAUACAGAGGGUGCAAGCGUUAAUCGGAAUUACUGGGCGUAAAGCGCGCGUAGGUGGUUCGUUAAGUUGAAUGUGAAAGCCCCGGGCUCAACCUGGGAACUGCAUCCAAAACUGGCGAGCUAGAGUAGGGCAGAGGGGGGUGGAAUUUCCUGUGUAGCGGUGAAAUGCGUAGAUAUAGGAAGGACCACCAGUGGCGAAGGCGACCACCUGGGAUCAUACUGACACUGAGGUGCGAAAGCGUGGGGAGCAAACAGG
rnacentral:rRNA from 1 species